CCUACGGGGGACAGCAGUGAGGAAUAUUGGUCAAUGGGCGUAAGCCUGAACCAGCCAAGUCGCGUGAAGGAUGAAGGCUCUAUGGAUCGUAAACUUCUUUUAUAAGGGAAUAAAGUGUUCGACGUGUCCUAUUUUGUAUGUACCUUAUGAAUAAGGAUCGGCUAACUCCGUGCCAGCAGCCGCGGUAAUACGGAGGAUCCGAGCGUUAUCCGGAUUUAUUGGGUUUAAAGGGUGCGAAGGCGGCCUUUUAAGUCAGCGGUGAAAGUCCGUGGCUCAACCAUAGAAUUGCCGUUGAAACUGGGGGGCUUGAGUAUGUGAGAGGCAGGCGGAAUGCGUGGUGUAGCGGUGAAAUGCUUAGAUAUCACGCAGAACACCGAUUGCGAAGGCAGAAUGCCGGGC
rnacentral:rRNA from 1 species